GACAAUUAAAGUUUCGGCGGUAAGAGAUGAGUAUGCGUCCUAUUAGCUAGUUGGUAAGGUAACGGCUUACCAAGGCAACGAUAGGUAGGGGUCCUGAGAGGGAGAUCCCCCACACUGGUACUGAGACACGGACCAGACUCCUACGGGAGGCAGCAGUGAGGAAUAUUGGACAAUGGAGGCAACUCUGAUCCAGCCAUGCCGCGUGCAGGAAGACUGCCCUAUGGGUUGUAAACUGCUUUUAUACAGGAAGAAACACUCGGACGUGUCCGAGCUUGACGGUACUGUAUGAAUAAGC
rnacentral:rRNA from 1 species